rnacentral:lncRNA from 1 species
UUCUAAUUUCUAACCCUGCUUCUUUUACGCUUCUUCUUCUUUUGGAUUUGUGGUAAACAAUUCUCCGAAGUCUAGGCUUGAGUUACAACACAAGAAUCACAAAAUAAAACUGCAUAAGAAAUCAUCCAGUUUCCGCAAACCCUAGAACGACUUCCACAAAUGGGUUUUUUUUUUUAAUCGUAUAGAGGGCUUUAAAGUUGCAGCGAUUUACAUAGGUAGGAGGUUUAGGGUUCUUCAGGUCAGUCUUCAUAUGCGUCUUCCUUUUAAUUCAUGCCUUGUUGAUUUGUAUCUUUUGAGUUUUGAAUUUCAUAUGUGGUGGUCUUAUGUCUGUUUAUGA